UACGGAGGGUGCAAGCGUUAUCCGGAUUCACUGGGUUUAAAGGGUGUGUAGGCGGAUUUUUAAGUCAGUGGUGAAAUCUCCGGGCUCGACCCGGAAACUGCCAUUGAUACUAUUAGUCUUGAAUUCUGUUGAGGUGGGCGGAAUACAUCAUGUAGCGGCGAAAUGCUUAGAUAUGAUGUAGAACACCGAUUGCGAAGGCAGCUCACUAAGCAGACAUUGACGCUGAGGCACGAAAGCGUGGGGAUCAAACAGG
rnacentral:rRNA from 1 species